GAUGAAGAACGCAGCGAAAUGCGAUAAGUAAUGUGAAUUGCAGAAUUCAGUGAAUCAUCGAAUCUUUGAGCGCACAUUGCGCCCGCUAGUAUUCUGGCGGGCAUGCCUGUCCGAGCGUCAUUUCAACCCUCAAGCCCCCGGGCUUGGUGUUGGGGAUCGGCGAGCCUCCGCGCCCGCCGUCCCCUAAAUCUAGUGGCGGUCUCGCUGUAGCUUCCUCUGCGUAGUAGCACACCUCGCACUGGGAAACAGCGCGGCCACGCCGUUAAACCCCCAACUUCUGAACGUUUGACCUCGGAUCAGGUAGGAAUACCCGCUGAACUUAAGCAUAUCAAUAAGCGGAGGA
rnacentral:misc_RNA from 1 species